CUCCACAGUGAUUUAUUUCUCUGAAGAGAUGCUUUAUCUUCCCAAGUCGUCUCCCAACAGCUACUCCCUGCCCUUGGGACUUCCACGGGAGCAAACAACCACUACGUCAGACUCUGGUGCUUAAACCCACCUGCUUGAACCCCUGUUCCUCGCAGACGGACCCAGCUGCUGCCAGCUGUUCCUGGAUGUGAAGGACGAGCAGCUUCACACAGCUGUGGAUUCCCCGCUGCUCUUGGAAUUGCCCAGCAGCCGGGGGAGGCAGCUGCCAGGACACAAGGACAGUGUUGUUUAGUAAAAGCUUCCUCGCUUGAAGUGUCCAUCCUCCCGCUGGAUGGAUGUCGGGCAAAACGUUUGGAGGAACUAAUUCCAGCCUCUGAUCCAGUGCAGCCUGAAGACUGGUACUCGGUGCCAUAAGCACUGCUCUGAGGAGAAACUAAACUCACUGUAAAAUUAAGCGUAUCGUUAAAUGCUCUCCUGAGACAGAAGCCUACAGCGUUGUUGCUGCUCGUGUUCCCGUUCAGUUCACAGCCAGGAAUUCCUCUGCCUGUUCUCAGAAAUCAAAUAAUUUGAUACCAUCUCAUCUGUAGAUCUUUAGCAAAUUUUUUGAGUCACACUCCCCCCAAACCAAACCAAAAAAAGGGUUCUGUAAGGCAGUGAUAGAGAGGAAUAAGGAAUGUGUUGUUCCCAGAAGCUGGUAUUGCAAAUAGCAUCUCCUCACUGCCUGCCCCCUUGGAUGGUGAUGGUCCAACAGACCCAUGGGCAGCCCCUGCAUCUUGGUCUGAGGUUGGGCUGGGUGUCCCUGUUGUGUGACCAAAGCCCGUCCUGCUGUGCUUGUCUGUUGGGGAAGAAGGUGACCUGCAAGACACCAGGGGUUAUCCUGCCCUGGGGAAAGAUUAUACUCCCUGUGACACAAACAAGGCUUAUUCCUACAGGAGAUACUCACAGUUACACCUAAUGCCCGCACGGAUUGAGACCACCAGCUUGUCACAGAGCUCUGCCCCGGGGAGGGAAGUGGUGACAGCAAAGGCAGCGGCCACCUGGGGAAGGGGGAAGGACAAUUCUGCACGGAACGCAGCUGAUCCCACGCAGCCACAUCCUCAGCGUGGUGGAAAUCCUGCCAGCUCAUCUCCACACCACGAGAAGAGGCAGGAUCACAGGACAGUCCACACCACAGGCUGUGACAGACCUAGUAAAUGUCCCAGGAGCAUAACUGUGGUGUGAAAGGGCAGGGGAGCUCUGCGAGGAGAGACGCUGAACGACAGGGAAGGCUGUUCCCACCUGACAUCACGGCCGUGAGCAACACAAACCUGAGUGAAAGCAGAACUUGGGUUCUUAUCAGAGCUGAUUUGCUCUUUCAGAUUCAGAGUCACGAAGUGGGGAAUGUACACUCCUGCUCUUAACUUCCAAGUUUCCCAACUAAAGGUUUUAGCUUCUGGGAAGAGCAAAAGAAAUCUCAUGAAUCACCUACCGCGCUCCAGUAUCACAGAGGGAAGUACAGAGACAGAAAGAGAAACCAGGAUCAGGGGAUCUGGAUGGUCUGACUGAGGAUGAACAAGCACAUUGGAGCGUGUCCCUGGAGCUGAUCUGAUCUCUCCAAAAACCUUUAUCUAGUCCCUUGCGCUUCACAGCCAAAAACACCCUUCAUUUCACAUGCCUGAGCCUCGGCAGCAGCACCCAGACCACCCAACGCACGUCCUCGCUGAGCUCAUGUUCUCGGAGCCAUAGAUGGGAAGUUGCCAUUCCCUGCGCUUCCAUAGAAAAAUGCUCAAGUCUCCCAGCCCUGCUCCUCUCUGUUACAGCUGGGUCCCAGCACAGCUGGAGUUCCCUGACGUUCAGAGCAGCUGGGAAAGCCCCAGCCCGAGCGUGGGAUGCUGCCGUCACCUGGUGGGUCGGGUGCCUGGUGCUCCUCCUGGGUGAUGGGUGACAAGGGACAGCACACAACCGGGUCCUUGACUCUGCCCCACAUCCCUAUGGCAACACAAGGUCUCUGAUUUCCACUGGUGCUUAGUCACGAUGGCACAGCAGGAGCCCUCUGCCUAAACAUUGUGUAAGAUGGAAAAUGCCAUUGUUUUUCAAAGGACUUCACCCCCUGGAAGCCACAGGAGGUUCAGACAGAAGCCAUGAUGUAUGAAGGGCUCCUGCAGCAAAGGAGGGCUUAAAAUAAGAGCAGGGUGAGUGAAAGCUGGUCCUGCAUCGCAGCAGGUCUGGGUCCAGCGUCCUCAGUGCUGCCAUACCAGGUGGGGGUGGUGGCAAUGGCUUUGUCCUGAGCAUCACAGCACCCCUUUCCCUACCUGUGUCGGGGUCCUCUCUGGCACCCCAGUCCAGGUACACCCAAACGGAGCAUGGCUUGGCUUGCCCUGCACACUUCAGCCAUCUCUCUGCUCCUGCUCUUGGACAUGGUUCCCUGGUCUCACCUCUGCUUCCCAGCACUCUCCACCUGCAGCGCUGGCACCGGAGGAGCUCGGUCCCAUCUUGGGGUCACUGCAGAAAUAACACCUGCGAUGGUGAGGGACGAGUCCCAGCAGGGACAGCCCGGGCGUGCAACACGGAGGAUGACAAUCAGAAGGAAAAAACCUAUGAUCGGAAGAAAUAAAGAUGCAUGCUUCAAAAGGAGAUAAAAUCGGUGCCUCUUUGGAACGGUGAUGGGCGAAUCCAAACACGUUGGGUGUCUGUUGGCAGUCCCCGAGUCCUCUCCCACAGUGUCUGGAGGGCUCAGCCCACCCUCAGCUGCUGAGUGACACGGGAGGGGGCGAAAAACAGCCUCCAGCAAAACCAACGUGUGGGGAAAUGCGCAGGCAGAAGAGUGAAAUUACCAGUCUCGUGACUGGGUGGUAGCCCCAGGGCCACGGGUGGCCAGAGUCUCUCUGGACAAGCAGGAUUAGGAGUUGGCACCGGUCACAUCCCCGCCGCACACCUGGAAAAACCCCUCCUGGGUUUCCUCUGAGAUCCUGACUCUCCUCGUUCGUGACGUCGAGGCGUAAUCCAGCUGCGUGUGACCUCACGAGGAAAACACCUCGCACCGACACCUUCAACAAAUGUUACUGGCUCACCCAACCCCGCUCACCCCCGCGGCGCUGGGCCGCCCUUCUCGGGGCGUUAAAAGCACAACGUGCCCAAACCGCUCUCGUGAAGGGCACGGCGGCUCCCGCUGACGGUGGUUUCAUGGGUUUAAGGACCUGUGGCCACCCUGAGUCACGGGCCACACCUGGCUGCGGCGAGAGAGAGGCGCAGGGUCAGCAGCCCUGCCUCAGCACUUUAAAUAAAUAAA